rnacentral:rRNA from 1 species
GAUGAACGCUGGCGGCGUGCCUAAUACAUGCCAGUCGAGCGAACAGACGAGGAGCUUGCUCCUCUGACGUUAGCGGCGGACGGGUGAGUAACACGUGGAUAACCUACCUAUAAGACUGGGAUAACUUCGGGAAACCGGAGCUAAUACCGGAUAAUAUAUUGAACCGCAUGGUUCAAUAGUGAAAGACGGUUUUGCUGUCACUUAUAGAUGGAUCCGCGCUGCAUUAGCUAGUUGGUAAGGUAACGGCUUACCAAGGCAACGAUGCGUAGCCGACCUGAGAGGGUGAUCGGCCACACUGGAACUGAGACACGGUCCAGACUCCUACGGGAGGCGGCAGUAGGGAAUCUUCCGCAAUGGGCGAAAGCUUGACGGAGCAACGCCGCGUGAGUGAUGAAGGUCUUCGGAUCGUAAAACUCUGUUAUUAGGGAAGAACAAAUGUGUAAGUAACUAUGCACGUCUUGACGGUACCUAAUCAGAAAGCCACGGCUAACUACGUG